CCUACGGGAGGCAGCAGUGAGGAAUAUUGGUCAAUGGGAGAGAUCCUGAACCAGCCAAGCCGCGUGAGGGAAGACGGCCCUAUGGGUUGUAAACCUCUUUUGUCGGAGAACAAAACCCGGGACGUGUCCCGGACUGCGUGUAUCCGAAGAAAAAGCAUCGGCUAACUCCGUGCCAGCAGCCGCGGUAAUACGGAGGAUGCUAGCGUUAUCCGGAUUUAUUGGGUUUAAAGGGUGCGUAGGCGGUCCGUUAAGUCAGCGGGAAAAUUGCGGGGCUCAAACCUGUCGAGCCGUUGAAACUGGCAGACUUGAGUUGGCGCGAAGUACGCGGAAUGCGCGGUGUAGCGGUGAAAUGCAUAGAUAUCGCGCAGAACUCCGAUUGCGAAGGCAGCGUACCGGCGCCAGACUGACGCUGAGGCACGAAAGCGUGGGGAUCGAACAGGAUUAGAUACCCGAGUAGUC
rnacentral:rRNA from 1 species